AUGGCUCCGUGGAACGCAGAGCUGGGGUGGCUAGGGACCCUGCAGUUUGCCCCAUGUGUUCACCAGCGUCUGCUGACCAGGAUUCCAUGGGCUCCUCCGAGCCCCUGCACAGUCUGCCUGUGGACUCAGGUCUCCAGAAGUGGUCAUCGUACGUGGCCUUGGGACCACAUCAGACCGCAGUCCCCAGACGCCUGCCAAGCCCAGCCUUGCCCAGCAGCCUCACCCAGCUCUGCCACCAAACUCUCACGUCUUGUCCUCCUCCAUGGAGAUCCGAGCCUUACACCGUACUUUUUGAAUUUUUAGCCAAAAAUUUCAGUGGGCUGUGGAGGACAGGGUGAAGUUCUGCAUGUGUCCAACUAAAAUGGAAAAUAAUUAAGUUGCUGAAAAACUGUGCACAGUAGUAGACACAAGCAAACCGUUCAUGCGCAGCAGUGAAAUUCACUCACCCCUUCACUUCUGUCAGCGAGAAGCAGACAUAGCUCUCAGCCCACCUAAAACGUGGCGGCAUCAGGCAAGACCCGCCACGGUUCCAGGAUCCGCCACGGUUCCGCCGGCUCCCUGGGCACAGCGCCGUGGCCCUCGCCUCGGUUUCUCUCUUGUGCCACCUCACCAAGCAGGGGCACUUGCCAGACCCCCUCUGGGCUGUGCCGGGAACACCAGCAGGGACCCUCUGUGAGGCCUGGUUCCUCACCUCCGGUGGCCUGGUUCUCAUCUGGGCUCCCAGGGAAGGAUUCAGAGCUGCCUGGCCACUGCUCAGCAAGCCCCGUUUGUCAUCCGGAAUAUUCACAUUCUGGUAAAUUCCUCAGGCAGCUGACAGGUGCUUCCCGGUGCAGUGGGGAGCCAUGUCAGCUGCACCUCUUGGUGGGAGACCUGUCAGAGAAUCUGCACACGCACUGUCUUCUGGCCUGCUGUGUGGACGGAACCUGGGGACCAAGUGCUGUAGUCUGGCCCGUGCCUGUGGUGUGGACUGUGAACAGGGCAC
rnacentral:lncRNA from 1 species